UGCAAGCGCACUCUGUGUCAUAUUGAACUGUAGCCCCCAUGUGAUUACAAUUUGUAAGCUUGCCAGAGGAAAUAUGCAAUCGGUGCUCUGCUUAUCCAUGUGGCAGCGAUCUUGUUGCUGCUGCAUUGAAUUCGGGCUCCACACUAG